rnacentral:rRNA from 1 species
GGAUCCAGACUUUGAUCAUGGCUCAGGAUAAACGCUGGCGGCGCACAUAAGACAUGCAAGUCGAACGGACUUAACCAUUAGUUUACUAUUGGAGCGGUUAGUGGCGGACUGGUGAGUAACACGUAAGCAACCUGCCUAUCAGAGGGGAACAACAGUUAGAAAUGACUGCUAAUACCGCAUAUGCCUUAGAAUCACAUGGUUCAAAAGGGAAAGGAGCAAUCCGCUGAUAGAUGGGCUUGCGUCUGAUUAGAUAGUUGGUGAGGUAACGGCCCACCAAGUCGACGAUCAGUAGCCGGACUGAGAGGUUGAACGGCCACAUUGGGACUGAGAUACGGCCCAGACUCCUACGGGAGGCAGCAGUCGGGAAUAUUGCGCAAUGGAGGAAACUCGGACGCAGUGACGCCGCGUGCAGGAAGAAGGUUUUCGGAUUGUAAACUGCUUUAGACAGGGAAAGAUACAAGACAGUACCUGUAGAAUAAGCUCCGGCUAACUACGUGCCAGCAGCCGCGGUAAUACGUAGGGAGCAAGCGUUAUCCGGAUUUAUUGGGUGUAAAGGGUGCGUAGACGGGAAAACAAGUUAGUUGUGAAAUCCCUCGGCUUAACUGAGGAACUGCAACUAAAACUAUUUUUCUUGAGUGCUGGAGAGGAAAGUGGAAUUCCUAGUGUAGCGGUGAAAUGCGUAGAUAUUAGGAGGAACACCAGUGGCGAAGGCGACUUUCUGGACAGUAACUGACGUUGAGGCACGAAAGUGUGGGGAGCAAACAGGAUUAGAUACCCUGGUGGUCCACACCGUAAACGAUGGAUACUAGGUGUAGGGGAUGAAUAAUCCUCUGUGCCGUCGCAAACGCAGUAAGUAUCCCACCUGGGGAGUACGGCCGCAAGGUUGCAA